UGUAAAUGAUGAUUUGCUUUUGGUCCGUGUUUAUGAAAUUAUCUUGAUUACAAAACAAAAGCUUUUUACCUGAUAUU